UCCGUCUUCAGGUUAUUACAACUUUGUAAAUGUUACAUUUACAAAGUUGUAAUAACCUGAAGACGGAC
rnacentral:miRNA from 1 species